UCUUCCGAACGAAUUUCUCCACAGUCAUCGUCAUCUUUGUUUCCACGGAAUUUAACGAUUUCCUCGCUUUACGGUAUUACGAGAUUCCUCGGUAAACUCCCAUCUUUGAGUAAACCUUGGCAAAUAUUUCCAACGAACCUCCGGAGCGUUCAGGUGAAACAGAAAUCUUUGAUGUACUCGUACACGUGCUAUGGCCACGAUUUUCUCUCGAGCGUAACUAAUGCCCGAGAACGAAUGAUUUUUUCACUAUUCUGCAAUGGGAUCUUCACGCCACUCGUGAUUUCGAAAAGUCACUGAUUCUUGGAUCAUCGUACAAAAAUUGAAUCAUCACAAUUUCAUUGAUUCAUCUGCUCAGCACUUCAGCAACCGGCGGAUCGAUGUUCCCGAGAUUUCUGGAUGCACAGAUCGUAUUGUGAGUCGUCCAAAAGCCAUGGAAGGUUGAAAUACUUGCUACCGAGAAAUGAAGUUCUCGUUCGAUUCUUCUUCUUUUUGGCAAUUGUCAAAAGCAGGAAGAAAAGGCUCAAACUUCGUUGCUAUAAAAAACCUACGAAGACGGAUGAGCGUUUCAGGUAUUCGAAU